UCUCUAACUGAUAACACAUUUACAUCCGUGCUUAUUUAGCUGCAAAUGUCGAGUGAGUAACAUCUUCAUAUUGCUUUCGCAACUUAAUAGUUAUUAUUUUAGAUCAAGAAAUGUGCAAUCAUUUUUGCGAGGAGUCGAGAACAAGAAACUACUAUUAUUUUCGGCGGGAUAAACCCAGCGAGGUAUAAAACCCCCCAUGUAUUACGUUUUAAUUAUAUACCUAUGUGUAGAACGGAGCGGGGAUUUCCAAUUAUGAAUAACAAUGUCGGCAUCCAAAAAAAUAGGGGCGUUGCCGUCGUCGGUCCUCUUCGACGCAAAUUUUAUGUAAGUAGAGUAAGCGCUUUAAUUGUAAUAAUAAACUUCAAAUCGAUAUUUCAGAUCUAAAUAAAAACGCCCUACAUUUUGUUUUUGUUGUUUUAUUUCCCUACCCGCCCCUGUUCUGGUUGUAGGUUAGAAUGGGGCCCCCUUGUGUAUGUCUCUCAAAUGGGGGAGCUACCUCCGAGAUGGAAUGAUAGGUUAGAAUUCUCCUCCCUUGCAUCUCUCUCCUGAACCCUCGUAUCUAACCGUUUGAUGUCUCAUCAAUGCCGGGGCGCCGGUUGAAAUUAUACUUUCCUAUACCUAUACGAAUCCUAAUAGAUGGCGACUCCGUUCCGUUAAAAUAGGUUAGAAUGAGGGACCUCGCACUUGACGACUGAAAUUACAAUUUCCUACCUCUAUAUGCAUUACGACGCCAAUAGAUGGCGCCUCCGUACCCUUAAAAUAGGUUCGUUAUAAAUACAACUAUCCAAGCAUUAUAUCAUACAAGUCUAGUUAGCCUAGUGGUUAUGCUAUAGGACUUGUAAUCCGAUGGUUGGCGGUUCGAAUCCGUUCCAUUUAAAAAAAUUUUCAGGAGGUUCGAUAUAAAUACAACUAUCCAAGCAUUAUAUCAUACAAGUCUAAUUAGCUCAGUGGUUAUGCUAUAGGACUUGUAAUCCAAUGGUUGGCGGUUCGAAUCCGUUCCAUUUAA